GACGAACGCUGGCGGCGUGCUUAACACAUGCAAGUCGAACGAUGAAGCCGGAGCUUGCUCUGGUGAAUUAGUGGCGAACGGGUGAGUAACACAUGAGUAACCUGCCCUUGACUCUGGGAUAACUGCGGGAAACUGUAGCUAAUACCGGAUGCGACCCUCGGAGGCAUCUCCUGGGGGUGGAAAGAAUUUCGGUCAAGGAUGGACUCGCGGCCUAUCAGCUAGUUGGUGAGGUAAAGGCUCACCAAGGCGACGACGGGUAGCCGGCCUGAGAGGGUGACCGGCCACACUGGGACUGAGACACGGCCCAGACUCCUACGGGAGGCAGCAGUGGGGAAUAUUGCACAAUGGGCGCAAGCCUGAUGCAGCAACGCCGCGUGAGGGAUGACGGCCUUCGGGUUGUAAACCUCUUUUAGCAGGGAAGAAGCGAAAGUGACGGUACCUGCAGAAAAAGCACCGGCUAACUACGUGCCAGCAGCCGCAGUAA
rnacentral:rRNA from 1 species